rnacentral:lncRNA from 1 species
CACCAACGUGGGAAGGCCUCUCAGGUAUAUAAAAGGUGCACCUCCACAGUAUUCCUACAUAUCUUGAUCAUUAAGUCCACGAACACAUCAUAAAGAACUAAAUUGUAGCCAUGUCUGGAGUUAAAGGAGGACACGGACAACAAAAGUCUCAAUGCCAGGAUCCCUGCAAGGAUCCAUGCCAGAAGCAGUCAGUAUGCCAAGACCCAUGUCAACAAAAAAGUGACUGCAAGGACCGUAAGUAUUAUGCAAAAUCUUCAAAAAACUAAUAGAAUUCUUCUUUGGCUAUUUCGUAAUCAAAUGUGAACAUGUUGCAUUGCUUAAACCUUUCCUUCUAUACGUAUUAUUAACAAGAAUUGUAUUUUUAUUCUUUUGAGAUAGUUUGAUGGGUUUUUUUUGAGAAUACAUAUUUAUGGUAGAAUCCUGCACUCAAAAGACUAUUAUUAUUUGUAGUUCAUAUAUAGUCACAUAAAGUAGAAUAUACCCUUGCCAAGUAUUUAGCAAUAUUAAAAUAUUGUUGAUCACUAAUAUUUUUGCUAAAACUUUUCCACGGGUUCUAGAUUUUUGAACUUGUUUUAUUUUAUCUUUUCACCAGAAUUUUAAAAAUGUGACUUCAAAUUUUUAUAAUACACGUCAAACUAAUUCAGUUAAUUAUAAAAAAUAAUUUUAUACAUAAUAUACAUGGUUAAUGCUUGUCUGAUUUUUCUUACAGCAUGCAAGGCUGGCCAGCAGUCCCAAGGCCACCAGAAAGGUAUGUAUUGAAUUGAGGACAUACUUAGUUGUCUGAACACUAGUAUGGUGUUUCAGAUGUAAUAAAACUCAUAUCUGUAAUUGUAAGAAAAUAUAAAAAUUCACGGUCCUGCUCCAGAUUUUAAUAAUUUUAUCUAACUAGAUACCAGAAUGCAUCUUCUAUAGGUGACACACUCAUUCCCAUGUGACAUUUUGGGGGAUGGUGGGAUGUUAAUGGUGGUACGUCUAUAGCUUGCAGAUUUACCACAUUUCUCAAAGGUUUGCUCGGGACAUCUGUCACAUAUUUAUACUCCUGGUCUGUCCAUUUGGCUCCUUUUCAAUGGUUGUUUUUCUGUGCUCAAGACUGGUAAAAAGUGCCUGUGUUGUGAAAGUACCAGAAAUAAUUUCAUCUUAAUAUCAACUGGGUUACCAGAAUAAUAUUCAAAGUUUAGAGGCAUUACAUAAAAUGGAUCGCAAUCUAAUGUUAGCAGCAUAAAAAUGGGUACAUCAAGAGAUUUUCUGCAAAACUUUUUUAGCCAGACAAUACUUUUUUUUUAUUGCAAUAUCAAUGUUAUGAAUCUGCUAGCAAAUACCGUGAAUCUGCUUCCCCCAAAAUACCCACCAAUUUAUUUCAAAUAUCCAUCAACAGGGUAUUAAAUGUCUUGCUCCUUUGUUAUACCUACUCUAUAAUACCAAAAUAGUAUUUGUGACUCUAUGCUAAUGUGUUUGAUGUAAUUUACGUAGUUUGUUUAUACUAAUGUAUAUCACUUUGUUAAGCUGUUUGUAGAUUCAUUGGGGUGGGGGACGGGAUAGGGAAGCAGUGUUUCUAUAUGAUAUGCUACUCAUAUUUGAAAACUCCUGUGAAGCGCAGUCCAUUCUUGAAUAAUUUCAUUCAUUUCAAGGAUUAUAUAUUUUAUUGUUGUUGGGAUAAUAACAGACAUGUUCAUGCGUCUUAAAAAGUGAUGCUAAAAUGUAAAAGGUUGGAGGCACCAAUGGAGUGUGUUAGCUGGUUCCGGUGGUCUCCACGCUGCGUGCCUUGCUUUAGACCGCUUUUUAGAAUAAACUAAAAAAUUGAUUUUAAAUUCUCAGAACCACGAGAGUUCAUACAUUCCAGAAACAAGGAAAACUUAACCCCUACACUAAAAGAGAGGCAUAAACCCAUUACCCUCUGUUACGUCCCUUCCUUUCCACCCAAAAACAGCAUGCUGCUUGUUCCCUCCAGUAUCUCAAUGAAAGCAUAGACUAACUAAUAGAGGCUUAGUGUACAGCAACCUCUUCCUGACAGUCCGUUGGCAGCACCAACUCCUCCCUCUUGGAUACUUGUGAAGAGCUAUAUCUAAAAUAUGCUAAUGUCUGACCGCCUUGUCUACUACCUGUAGAGAUCUGGGGUUAAAAAGAUUCACAUCCGGGGCUUCAGCCCUCAAAGCCCCCGGCCUAUGCUCAGAAGCAUUUCCAAAAGUGCUUGCUUACUCCUCAAACUGCUGAUUUAGAAGUAACAGCCUUAAUGACUGGACAGUGAUGGCGGACUAUAAGGUAACUGAGAGCACAGACAUGCUAGCAAUGUAAUUAUCAUUAUACAAAACCCCUUAUUAAAUGGGUUUAGAUGCCCAGGAACAAUCGUGGACAAGAAGAAUCCGGGACAAGAAUUAAAAUACUCAUAAAAUAGGUUGACUAUUGCACUAAAUAUAUAUUCCGUAACUUCUCAUGCAUCUUUCUAAUUUUCUAUAACCUUCUUACCUGCAGAUGCUUGUAACCCAUGCGCACCUGAUCCUUGCCAAAGCCAGGGAAAACACCACUGACACGGAUAUACCAUGCACAGCUGAUUCACGGGACCAUCUUAUUAUUAAUUUUAAUUUAAUCGUAAUUGAUCAUGCUUUAAAAUAUUUUAAUCACUUAUCUAGCAACGAUUUCACGAUGGCGGCUAUGAUAUCGUAAUAAACAUAACUGAUGUGAAUUUAUUUUUCCUUCUGUUUUAUUUUUAAAAAAAUCCACAACACAAUGUAUAUCAAUAGGCAAAUACAAACUGCUAUAACAGAUGGCAAUCAAAUAAUGUGUGAUCGUAUGAGUAUUUGAGACUUUAGCGGAUGUGCCUUUUAUUUUACCAGAUGAGAUGAUCUAUGUGGGGUUGCACCAUUUUAAAGUAAAAUGAGAACUGGAAACAUUUGGAUUAAAUACAAAAUGUAGGCAAUAGGCUAAUUUUUAAGGGACACUACAAAACUCUAAAGUAUUUGAGCUUGUUGGAGUGCUUUACGUGUGUGCUCUUUUUUUUUAAUUAUUUUACAAAAAGUGCAGAUUUCUGUAGAAAUCUGCACUUUUAUAAAUUAACCAUAUUACACCCCCUGGCUGUCAAUCAGACAUCAGGUUCUGUUACUUCCUGGUUGUUUAUCUAAGUGGCGUUAAACUCAAGAGGCAGCAAUGGUUCAGAGCACCUGCCUUGCAAAGACUUCUUAUUCAGCAGCACUUGGAAGCCUGUGAUUGGACAGCCACAGAAAGUCUGGGUGGCAUUGGAAAGGGGGAGCUUGCAAUGGGCUGCAGAAAAGAUACAUUUAAACCUGUUUUCCAAUAUACCCCCCAGUGGAAAAAUGCAUAGUUUGUAUGUAUAUCUACUAAACAGUGAUUUUUAGGCAGUGGCAUGUCCCUUUAAGAAAUGAUGCCUUGUUCAGUGAAGAUUUCCUGCAUUUAAUACUCAUUUAACUUAAUGCAUUUUUUUAAAAUAUCACACUGUUUCUACUCUAAGUGCUAUCCCUUCUGUGAUGCUUAUAUUGUUUAUAUAUCUUAAUGAGCCUUCCACGCCAAAGCCAUUAGUAGCAAGUCAUGUUUACUUAUUUGUCCCAGCCUCAGUCUUUUGAGAACAUUGUGACACCAUGGUGGACAAGUAAUUAUUGCAUAAAAUGACAAACAUGCAACCAAUUCAACUAAAUUCAGUUAUCAUCCAGUGAACAGCAACACUUCUGUAGCAUUUCUCAGUACUCCACUUCCCAUACUAGUUACGUUUCAUUCAUGACCUUCUUGCUAAAAGGUGAUGUCUUGCUCUUGACUCUUGAUUGGUUGUGAAGAAUUCAGGGACAACAGAAGGGUUGUCAUUAAAUUUUUAACCUCAUUAUCCAUUUCAAUCUUCCUGGGCAGAGACC